rnacentral:rRNA from 1 species
GUCACUGACGAGUUUGAUCAUGGCUCAGAACGAACGCUGGCGGCAUGCCUAACACAUGCAAGUCGAACGAACCCUUCGGGGUGAGUGACGCACGGGUGCGUAACGCGUGGGAACCUGCCCUUAGGUUCGGAAUAACAGUGAGAAAUCGCUGCUAAUACCGGAUAAUGUCUUCGGACCAAAGAUUUAUCGCCUUUGGAUGGGCCCGCGUUGGAUUAGCUAGUUGGUGGGGUAAAGGCUCACCAAGGCGACGAUCCAUAGCUGGUCUUAGAGGAUGAUCAGCCACACUGGGACUGAGACACGGCCCAGACUCCUACGGGAGGCAGCAGUGGGGAAUAUUGGACAAUGGGCGAAAGCCUGAUCCAGCAAUGCCGCGUGAGUGAUGAAGGCCUUAGGGUUGUAAAGCUCUUUUACCAGGGAUGAUAAUGACAGUACCUGGAGAAUAAGCUCCGGCUAACUCCGUG